rnacentral:misc_RNA from 1 species
CACCAUUCGGAGCGCGACCAGCUUGAGCUCUUUCGGGCGUUGCCCGGCGAUCUUGCGCCGCGCGACGCGCAGGAUCUGAUGGCGUAUCCGUUCUUCUCCCUCGCAAAGACUAAGCGGAUCGUGCCGAUCGACUUCCGUGCCGGUGCGAUCGCAAUUCGUGUCGAAGCCGUGCCGGAACACGGCAUGGCGACGAUCUGGGAUGCAGACGUUCUGAUCUGGGCCGCGUCCCAGAUUGUCGAAGCCCGUG